AGGGGAGACUAGUAACUGUGUCAGGAGCUGACAGCUCUUCAUCUCCUGUGUGGUUGAUUGUUGGACUGGUUUGUGGAGUCUCUCUCAUUAUUAUUCUCCUGCUCUUGUUGUAUCGCUGCAGAACAACCAACAGUGCUGCUAAUGAGCAGACGCUCAAUCAGGAUGAAGAUCAGCAGCACGUGUACUCCUCUCUUCUUCAUGGUGAUCGUUGUGUCUAUGAGACAGUCAGAAGAUGUGAAAACACUGAAAAUGGUCCAGCAGAAGGUGAUUACACCAAUGUCACAUCUGUGAUUCAGCUCAAAGUCAUUAACAAGACAAGGCAACGUGGUGACCCAGAGGAGAGCUCUGACUAC